rfam:Nicotiana sylvestris Nsyl_contig321941, whole genome shotgun sequence.
GAUCUCUGCAUUUUACUAAGCGAACUAUUCUUUCGCCUUUUACUAAAGAAUACCGUGUGCGCGUUGCAUUCAGUGGCAACUCUUAAAAUAUACUGAUAAACCAUGUAUUUUGAA